GUGCUCACUUCAUCAGCACAUAUACUAAAAAAUUGGACCGAUAUAGAGAAGAUUAGCAUGGCCCCUGUACAAGGAUGACACGUAAUUAAUGUUAUAUAGCCAGGUGUGGU